GGUGUUUCUUGUGUUCUCGCGACUGUAGUAAUUUGUUCUCUUUUAGUAUGUUGUGUAAUCCUGUGUGGUGAAUUGUUCUUAGUUGCUUUUAUUUGUUGUUUGUUUGUUUGCCUAUGUGUGGUGCUUGAUACGAGUAGACGAGAACUAUUUGUGGACGCUGAGGAUCAGAAGAUGAUGACCGAAAGCUAAAGGUGUGGGAAUUGAGCAAGUGUUUAAGGCAAGU
rnacentral:lncRNA from 1 species